AUGUUGUUUGAAAGGAAAGGUUAGCAUUUCCCCCUACAAGUAUAGAAGAUACCCUUAGACCUGACAGUAUGCAUAGUUAAGGCAUUGCCACCUACUUCAUGGUAUCUAACCAUCAUUUUUA